UACGAGGGGUGCAAGCGUUGCUCGGAAUUAUUGGGCGUAAAGGGUAGGUAGGUGGUCUCAUUUGUCAGGGGUGAAAGCCUUGGGCUUAACUCAAGAAGUGCCUCUGAAACGGUGAGACUGGAGUCUUGGAGAGGGUCGUGGAAUUCCCGGUGUAGCGGUGAAAUGCGUAGAGAUCGGGAGGAACACCGGUGGCGAAGGCGGCAUCCUGGACCGGCAUUGACGCUGAGGCGCGAAAGCUAGGGGAGCAAACGGG
rnacentral:rRNA from 1 species